GCGUUUUGGGGAUCGGCUCGGUUUUUGUUUUUGUGUUUGAGAUAGGGUGUCGCUCCGUCGCCGGGGCUGGAGUGCGGUGACAUGAUCUCGGCUCACUGCAGUCUUCGCCUCGCGGGCCUCAGGGAUUCUCCCGCCUCAGACUCUUGAGUAACUAGGAUUGCAGGUGGGCACCACCACGCCCAGCUAAUUUUUUGUAUUUAGUUUUUGUAGAGACGGGGUUUCUCCAUGUCGCUCAGGCUGGUCUCAAACUCCGCCCGCCUAGGCCUCCCAAAGUACUGGGACUACAGGUGUCCCAAGUGAGCCACUGCGCCCAGACUCUGGCCGGUUUUGCUAAGUUGCGUUAGACUGGUCCGAGCACCAUCUGUAGUCCUGGAAGGGGCAAAAAUGCGCCUGCAUUUUCAGCCAAGGAAGAGCAAGAGGGGUACUGGGGUGCAUUAGGAAGUGCUAAGUGCGUUAGGAAGUGCUACAUCCCACCCCUUUUCCUGACGCCAUGACGAGGACUAUAAGAAGAGUUUGCACAGACGUCCUAGGCUCUUUUCUAGACGCUCGAGACACAGCCGUGGACAAAAUCAGCCCUUAUGGAAAUUACAUCCUUCCUAGUGAAAUGCGUUUCAUACCAAAUUUCAUUUCAUUUUCACAACCCCUAAAGAUUGGUAAUUGCGGCCAGGCACAGUGGCUCAUGCCUAUAAUCCCAGCAUUUUGGGAGGCUGAGGGGGAGGAUGGCUUGAGCCCAGGAGCUGGAGACCAGUCCGGGCAACACAGUGGGACCCUGUCUCUACAAAAAUACCUUUUUUUAAAAUUAGCCAGGUUCUGUGCCACACUUGUAGUCCGAGCUGCUCGGAGGUUUGAGGCUGGAGGAUUGCUUGAGCCCAGGAGAUAUUAUCACACCACUGUACCACAGCCUGGGUGACAGAGCAAGACCCUGCCUCAAAAAACAAAAACAAAAACCAACAUCUGCUACUCGCAUACCUGCUUCAGAUCCUUGGAGAGAAAAGCCCGGUUCAGAGCCAUGACUAAGGAGGUGAUGAAUGGUUAGUUCAGAGCACAAAGCCCUAUCAUCUACUCAUCUCUAGACCAUUGGCCCUUUUGUGCAAAAGGCAAGACAGUUUCCUCUUUCUAAGUCAUCUGGUGUCUAACAGCCCAGCAGCCUUGGAAUCAGACGAGUAUCCAUAAGCCUAUACCUGGGCCUGCUCCUGUAAUUAUUACUCUCAUUUUCCAGCAUGCUCUAGGCAGCCUUGAUUCUAAUCCUUGCCUGUCCCAGUGGUCUUUGUGUCUGACCUUCUGAGGUCUUUGGCUGCCUUCGUCUUCCUCUGAUGUGAGUACCAGCGAUGAUGUUUCACUUUUCUCCCUACCUGGGACUACAAACAGGAAGCUUGUGCACUUCUGCUUGUGAGAGGAUACCUCAGAAGAAAUUUGGAAGCUUGUUUUCUGAUCUCUGAUACCAUUUGCCAGAGAAAUCUGCUGUCUCUGGGAAGGAUGAGCAUGAUGUCAGAGGAGUACACAGUUUAUGUGUAAGCAAGAUGGAGGCUGACCUGUCUGGCUUUAAUAUUGAUGUCCCCCGCUGGGACCAGCGCACCUUCCUGGGGAGAGUGAAGCACUUCCUGAACAUCACGGACCCCCGCACUGUCUUCGUGUCUGAGCGGGAGCUGGAUUGGGCCAAGGUGAUGGUGGAGAAGACCAGGAUGGGGGUUGUGCCCCCGGGCACCCAAGUGGAGCAGCUGCUGUACGCCAAGAAGCUUUAUGACUCGGCCUUCCACCCUGACACUGGGGAGAAGAUGAACAUCAUUGGGCGCAUGUCCUUCCAGCUCCCUGGUGGCAUGAUCAUCACUGGCUUUAUGCUCCAGUUCUACAGGACGAUGCCGGCGGUGAUCUUCUGGCAGUGGGUGAACCAGUCCUUCAAUGCCUUAGUCAACUAUACCAACAGGAAUGCGGCUUCCCCCACAUCAGUCAGGCAGAUGGCCCUUUCUUACUUCACAGCCACAACCACUGCUGUGGCCACGGCUGUGGGCAUGAACAUGUUGACAAAGAGAGCGCCACCCUUGGUGGGCCGCUGGGUACCCUUUGCUGCGGUGGCUGCUGCUAACUGUGUCAAUAUCCCCAUGAUGCGACAGCAGGAGCUCAUCCAGGGAAUCUGCGUGAAGGACAGGAAUCAAAAUGAGAUUGGUCAUUCCCGGAGAGCUGCAGCCAUAGGCAUCACCCAAGUAGUUAUUUCUCGGAUCACCAUGGCAGCUCCUGGCAUGAUCUUGCUGCCAGUUAUCAUGGAAAGGCUUGAGAAAUUGCACUUCAUGCAGAAGGUCAAGGUCCUGCACGCCCCGUUACAGGUCAUGCUGUGUGGGUGCUUCCUCAUCUUCAUGGUGCCAGUGGCGUGUGGGCUCUUCCCACAGAUAUGGUAUCUGCUGUUCAUUCCUCACUUGGUUUCAUUGACCACCCUGCCAGUGCUGUCCCUGACCUGCCUGCUGUCCAGAAGGAGACAGGGAAGGGGCAGGAAGGGCAGCACCUGUCCAAGGACAAGUAUCUAUCAGCUUAAAGACUGGGCCUCUUAACCCUGGUGAACUUUGGCACAACAGAUCUGUGAGGGGCAGGAAUAAGGUUGCUCCCUCCCAGUGGAGCAAGGGCUGCCUUGGAGAGAAGUGAAUUGCCGGUUUCCUAUCUGGAACCAGAGCUCCAAGACACCAUCAAGGCCAAGUAUAGAGAACUUGUGCCUUAUGUCUACUUCAAUAAGGGUCUCUAAAUGCCCCACAUCAGCAAGGACCAGUCUGUUCCCAUAUUCACCAGCUCCUCCUUAGCUAUGUGCACACUUGUGCCCUCCUUCCUCUUUGCCAGCAAAGCCUGAAGGCCAGGGUAGAUUGGGGGGUACGACAAUGAAUGCCUCAUGCUUACACCCUGGCACCUGGUUGAUUGGACUCCAGGGGUGAAAAGUGAAAAAGGGAAGCAAAGGCCAACGUCUUGAAGCUGCUUCCUCCUUAGCCCUUGUCCCCUGGAGACCAGAAGCUGAGGCCCUUUCAGGGAGGAGACCGCAAGUAAAAGGUAGGAAACUUUUAGGAUUCUGGUUCCAGCCAGGACUAGGGAAAAGCCCUUGGUUCAAAAGGAAGUUUCUACACCUCUUUCUUCUUCACUUCCUCCUCCUCUCCCGAGCAAUGGAACAUUUUACCCAGGCAAUUUUAGCCAAAUAUAGGAAAAAGAAGGGGGGAAGGACUCUGUCCCCUUGGGGCUCAUCUCCACCCUCCUCAUUGCCUCCUUGUCGGAUAGUUGUGUUUUUUUUUUUUUUAGCCGGAGUCUCUCUUUGUUGCCCAGGCUGGAAUGCGGUGGCUCGAUCUUGGCUCACUGCAAUCUCUGCCUCCUGGGUUCAAGCAGUUCUCCUGCCUCAGCCUCCCAAAUAGCUGGGACUACAGGUGCCCACCACCACACCCGGCUAAUUUUUGUAUUUUUAGUAGAGACAGGGGUUCACCAUAUCGGCCAGGCUUGUCUCGAACUCCUGACCUCAUGUGAUCUGCCCGCCUUGGCCUCCCAAAGUGUUGGGAUUACAGGCAUGAGCCACCGCACCCGACAGGGAGCUUCUUUGGGAGAACUGCUAACCUUGAAAUGACCAGACACCCAGGAGUUAUUAGUGCUGAAAAGGAGACCAUGUAAGGCAGCAGAGUUACAUGGUUCUUCAAAUCAUGUCCGAAUCUAUUCUUGGAGUCUUCUCUGUAAUAAGGGAAGUUCUUUUUCCCCACGGCCAUAUAUCUCUAUUUUAAAAAAUAAGUCCAUUAACUGUGAGUAAAAAUGAUGUAUGCAGGCAGUAACCACACACUUUAAUGGGUAUAAUUUCCUGGCUACCUCCCUUCCUCCGCCCAUUAGGUUAACCACCAAAGAAAGACUGGUGUAUACUGAAUAGCAAAGGGAAGUUUUAUUUGGACCCUUCUAAGAGGAAAUUAACCAGGACCAAAGAGCUUUAAAGGACAUUCAGCAAAGCACAGCCACUUCCCCUCCCCAGCUUAGCUGCCCUAGGUGGUUUCUCAAGCUCCCUGGGGGAUUGUUAUGGCUCAUCUGGAAUCAAUGUGUGUGUAAGUUUUGUCUGGUAGGAUUGCUGACUCUGUCCAAAAGAUACCACUAUGAAUUGAAUAAAUGUCUUGAAAGAGCACACAGGCACACACGCACACAAACUGUAAACUAAGUUAAUAAAGCCUGAAUGGAAAGCCGGA